rnacentral:rRNA from 1 species
AAAUUGAAGAGUUUGAUCAUGGCUCAGAUUGAACGCUGGCGGCAGGCCUAACACAUGCAAGUCGAACGGUAACAGGAAGCAGCUUGCUGCUUUGCUGACGAGUGGCGGACGGGUGAGUAAUGUCUGGGAAACUGCCUGAUGGAGGGGGAUAACUACUGGAAACGGUGGCUAAUACCGCAUAACGUCGCAAGACCAAAGAGGGGGACCUUCGGGCCUCUUGCCAUCAGAUGUGCCCAGAUGGGAUUAGCUGGUUGGUGAGGUAACGGCUCACCAAGGCGACGAUCCCUAGCUGGUCUGAGAGGAUGACCAGCCACACUGGAACUGAGACACGGUCCAGACUCCUACGGGAGGCAGCAGUGGGGAAUAUUGCACAAUGGGCGCAAGCCUGAUGCAGCCAUGCCGCGUGUAUGAAGAAGGCCUUCGGGUUGUAAAGUACUUUCAGCGGGGAGGAAGGUGUUGUGGUUAAUAACCGCAGCAAUUGACGUUACCCGCAGAAGAAGCACCGGCUAACUCCGUGCCAGCAGCCGCGGUAAUACGGAGGGUGCAAGCGUUAAUCGGAAUUACUGGGCGUAAAGCGCACGCAGGCGGUCUGUCAAGUCGGAUGUGAAAUCCCCGGGCUCAACCUGGGAACUGCAUUCGAAACUGGCAGGCUUGAGUCUUGUAGAGGGGGGUAGAAUUCCAGGUGUAGCGGUGAAAUGCGUAGAGAUCUGGAGGAAUACCGGUGGCGAAGGCGGCCCCCUGGACAAAGACUGACGCUCAGGUGCGAAAGCGUGGGGAGCAAACAGGAUUAGAUACCCUGGUAGUCCACGCCGUAAACGAUGUCUACUUGGAGGUUGUGCCCUUGAGGCGUGGCUUCCGGAGCUAACGCGUUAAGUAGACCGCCUGGGGAGUACGGCCGCAAGGUUAAAACUCAAAUGAAUUGACGGGGGCCCGCACAAGCGGUGGAGCAUGUGGUUUAAUUCGAUGCAACGCGAAGAACCUUACCUGGUCUUGACAGCCACAGAAGUUUCAAGAGAUGGAGUUGGGCCUUCGGGAACUGUGAGACAGGUGCUGCAUGGCUGUCGUCAGCUCGUGUUGUGAAAUGUUGGGUUAAGUCCCGCAACGAGCGCAACCCUUAUCCUUUGUUGCCAGCGGUUAGGCCGGGAACUCAAAGGAGACUGCCAGUGAUAAACUGGAGGAAGGUGGGGAUGACGUCAAGUCAUCAUGGCCCUUACGACCAGGGCUACACACGUGCUACAAUGGCGCAUACAAAGAGAAGCGACCUCGCGAGAGCAAGCGGACCUCAUAAAGUGCGUCGUAGUCCGGAUUGGAGUCUGCAACUCGACUCCAUGAAGUCGGAAUCGCUAGUAAUCGUGGAUCAGAAUGCCACGGUGAAUACGUUCCCGGGCCUUGUACACACCGCCCGUCACACCAUGGGAGUGGGUUGCAAAAGAAGUAGGUAGCUUAACCUUCGGGAGGGCGCUUACCACUUUGUGAUUCAUGACUGGGGUGAAGUCGUAACAAGGUAACCGUAGGGGAACCUGCGGUUGGAUCACCUCCUUACCUGAAAGAAGC